CCCGCUGAACUUAAGCAUAUUAUUAAGCGGAGGAAAAGAAACUAACAAGGAUGCCCUCAGUAACGGCGAGUGAAGCGGGCAAAGCUCAACCUGAAAAUCUGGCCCUUUAGCGGGGGUCUGACUUGUGGGCUAGAGACGUGUGAUCAGUGUGUGACCCAGGUAUAAGUCUUUUGAAACAAGGCAUCAGAGAGGGUGAGAAUCCCGUCUUUGACCUGGAGUUUCGCCACGUACGAUCUACGUUCGUAGAGUCGAGUUGUUUGGGAUUGCAGCUCUAAAUGGGUGGUAAGUUUCAUCUAAAGCUAAAUAUCGACGAGAGACCGAUAGCGAACAAGUACCGUGAGGGAAAGAUGAAAAGAACUUUGAAAAGAGAGUUAAAAAGUACUUGAAAUUGCUAAGAGGGAAGCACUGGAAACCAGUCGUGGCUUGCAUGUAUUUUAACUUCUGCUUCCGGAUCUGGCGACUUCGUGGUGAGCCCAAAGCCACCUGUUGUUGUCGGUUGAUGGUGCGGUUGUGCCAUGUACGGUAGGCCGUGUCAGAAUCAGUUUAUGUCCGUGAGAGAAAGCUAUGAUAACGGUAGGUUCGCGGGGCCCUUAAAAGCUCUCAAGGACUGCUUAGUGUUGUAGUGCUAUCAUGGAUUAGACUGAGGUACAAGUCGAAAUGCGCACCAUUGGGUUAGCGGGUUCACUUCCCUGGAUUCACAAGGAGCUUGGACAACAAAGUUGUGCGGUUCCUGAAGGUUUCUACUGGUUGUGUUCACUCAGCUGCAGCAUUCGAGAUUCUGACGAAAUGGUUUUCAUUGACCCGUCUUGAAACACGG
rnacentral:rRNA from 1 species